AGCGAAACGGGAAGAGCCCAAACCAACAAGCUUGCUUGUUGGGGUUGUAGGACACUCUAUACGGAGUUACAAAGGACGACAUUAGACGAAUCAUCUGGAAAGAUGAAUCAAAGAAGGUAAUAAUCCUGUAGUCGAAAAUGUUGUCUCUCUUGAGUGGAUCCUGAGUACGACGGAGCACGUGAAAUUCCGUCGGAAUCUGGGAGGACCAUCUCCUAAGGCUAAAUACUCUCUAGUGACCGAUAGUGAACCAGUACCGUGAGGGAAAGGUGAAAAGCACCCCGGAAGGGGAGUGAAAUAGAACCUGAAACCGUGUGCUUACAAGUAGUCAGAGCCCGUUAAUGGGUGAUGGCGUGCCUUUUGUAGAAUGAACCGGCGAGUUACGAUUUGAUGCAAGGUUAAGCAGUAAAUGUGGAGCCGUAGCGAAAGCGAGUCUGAAUAGGGCGUUUAGUAUUUGGUCGUAGACCCGAAACCAGGUGAUCUACCCUUGGUCAGGUUGAAGUUCAGGUAACACUGAAUGGAGGACCGAACCGACUUACGUUGAAAAGUGAGCGGAUGAACUGAGGGUAGCGGAGAAAUUCCAAUCGAACCUGGAGAUAGCUGGUUCUCUCCGAAAUAGCUUUAGGGCUAGCCUCAAGUGAUGAUUAUUGGAGGUAGAGCACUGUUUGGACGAGGGGCCCCUCUCGGGUUACCGAAUUCAGACAAACUCCGAAUGCCAAUUAAUUUAACUUGGGAGUCAGAACAUGGGUGAUAAGGUCCGUGUUCGAAAGGGAAACAGCCCAGACCACCAGCUAAGGUCCCAAAAUAUAUGUUAAGUGGAAAAGGAUGUGGCGUUGCCCAGACAACUAGGAUGUUGGCUUAGAAGCAGCCAUCAUUUAAAGAGUGCGUAAUAGCUCACUAGUCGAGUGACACUGCGCCGAAAAUGUACCGGGGCUAAACAUAUUACCGAAGCUGUGGAUUGUCCUUUGGACAAUGGUAGGAGAGCGUUCUAAGGGCGUUGAAGCAUGAUCGUAAGGACAUGUGGAGCGCUUAGAAGUGAGAAUGCCGGUGUGAGUAGCGAAAGACGGGUGAGAAUCCCGUCCACC
rnacentral:rRNA from 1 species